AGAGUUUGAUCAUGGCUCAGAGCGAACGUUAGCGGCGGGCCUAACACAUGCAAGUCGAACGAGAAUGUAGGCUUCGGUCUACUAGUAAAGUGGCGGACGGGUGCGUAACACGUGGGUAAUCUACCUUCCGGCGGGGGACAACAGUCCGAAAGGAUUGCUAAUACCGCAUACGUCAGCGGCGCCUACGGGCGCUGUUGGGAAAGAUGGCCUCUCCUUGGAAGCUGUCACCGGAAGAUGAGCCCGCGCCCCAUCAGCUAGUUGGUGAGGUAAUGGCUCACCAAGGCUUAGACGGGUAGCUGGUCUGAGAGGAUGAUCAGCCACACUGGGACUGCGACACGGCCCAGACUCCUACGGGAGGCAGCAGUGGGGAAUAUUGGGCAAUGGGCGAAAGCCUGACCCAGCCACGCCGCGUGAGUGAUGAAGGCCUUCGGGUCGUAAAGCUCUGUGGGGAGGGACGAACAAGCCUUGGGCUAAUCACCAGGGCCCUGACGGUACCUCCUUAGCAAGCACCGGCUAACCCUGUGCCAGCAGCCGCGGUAAUACAGGGGGUGCAAACGUUGCUCGGAAUCAUUGGGCGUAAAGCGCACGUAGGCGGUCUGUUAUGUCGGAUGUGAAAGCCCUUGGCUCAACUGAGGAAGUGCAUCCGAAACUGGCAGGCUAGAGUACUAAAGAGGGUCGCGGAAUUCCCGGUGUAGAGGUGAAAUUCGUAGAUAUCGGGAGGAACACCGGUGGCGAAGGCGGCGACCUGGGUAGAUACUGACGCUGAGGUGCGAAAGCGUGGGGAGCAAACAGGAUUAGAUACCCUAGUAGUCC
rnacentral:rRNA from 1 species